CGUUCUCACACUUGCACUGCUGACUGCAGCUCGGCCCCCAGUGUUUGUCAUCACAGGCUGAAAGAAAUGUGAGUGUGCGACCCCAUUCUGUGGACGAUCAGUGAGGUGCAGACGUUCACCUGCAUUGCCCGUGAAGACAAAAUAGGGCGAGUGCUGGAUGGAGCAGUUCUGCAUCUAUUUCCAUCAGCUUUCCCACCAGAUUUUGGAAACCAGGCAGCAGAGAUUUUCCACCGUUCAGCCACGUGAGCGUCAGUGAUGUCGACCAGUGAUGUUGGGUGAUUCCAGUUCAUCCUAAAGGUGCUGGAUGGGGCUGAGAUCAGGAUUUAGUGCAGGUUAGUCUGCCUCUUUUACAUGUAAUUUAGAAAGACAUGUCUUCAUGGACCUGGAUUCAUGAAUGGAUGGAUGGAUAAAAUUCUAUCUCACAGCAGGAGCGUACAAAUCACAGACGGAUGAAUGAAUGCAUAUCACAGACAUGUAAGACAUACAGAGUUAAUACACAUAAAACAAAGAAAAAGGAUUGGUAUACGACACACCACAGACUGAAAUUCCAGGACAAAAAACGUGGGUUUAAGAGCUCAUAUGGCGGUGGAAACAAAGCGCUUACUGAAGGGGGCUUGUUGUAACAGGAGAGGGUCGAACUGUUGCCAUAAAGUUGGGAGUACACUAUUAUCUAAAUUGUUGUAGCAUGAGGAUUUACAUUAACUGUAGUCACGAGGUCUACCCUAACACU